AAGAUUCUAGUUAAAAAAUAACACUGCCUUGUCAAGGCAAAAUUGUAGGUUAAAAUCCUACGUAUCUUG
rnacentral:tRNA from 1 species